GAUGAACGCUGGCGGCGUGCUUAACACAUGCAAGUCGAACGGUGAACGAGGGAGCUUGCUCCCUCCGGAUCAGUGGCGAACGGGUGAGUAACACGUGAGCAAUCUGCCCUGGACUCUGGGAUAAGCGUUGGAAACGACGUCUAAUACCGGAUACGAGACGCGAAGGCAUCUUCAGCGUCCGGAAAGAACUUCGGUCCAGGAUGAGCUCGCGGCCUAUCGGGUAGUUGGUGAGGUAACGGCUCGCCAAGCCUACGACGGGUAGCCGGCCUGAGAGGGUGACGGGCCACACUGGGACUGAGACACGGCCCAGACUCCUACGGGAAGCAGCAGGGGGGAAUAUUGCACAAUGGGCGCAAGCCGGAUGCAGCAACGCCGCGUGAGGGACGACGGCCUUCGGGUUGUAAACCUCUUUUAGCAGGGAAGAAGCGAAAGUGACGGUACCUGCAGAAAAAGCACCGGCUAACUACGUGCCAGCCGCCGCAGUAACAC
rnacentral:rRNA from 1 species